rnacentral:rRNA from 1 species
UACGUAGGGUGCAAGCGUUGUCCGGAAUUAUUGGGCGUAAAGAGCUUGUAGGCGGUUUGUCGCGUCUGCUGUGAAAAUCCGGGGCUCAACCCCGGACUUGCAGUGGGUACGGGCAGGCUAGAGUUCGGUAGGGGGAGACUGGAAUUCCUGGUGUAGCGGUGAAAUGCGCAGAUAUCAGGAGGAACACCGGUGGCGAAGGCGGGUCUCUGGGCCGAUACUGACGCUGAGGAGCGAAAGCGUGGGGAGCAAACAGG